rnacentral:lncRNA from 1 species
GUGGUCGGUGCAGAGCAGUCUCAAGUGCUUCUAUUUCUUUUGUACUUUGUGAUUUUGAUUUUGCCUCUCUGAUUCGUUCCACGGGUGCCUUCGAUUCAUAUUCUAGGGUUUGGACUAUGAUAUCUCUUGUUCCAAUGUUUGCCUUCUCUGUGUUCAUCUGUGAGAGGAUGACACCAAUUGGCAGUGACAUUGCUGAGUCUCCAUUCAUGAAACUAAAUUAACACGUUGUGGGGCUAUAAACCCCUAUACCCUUACGGCUAGACUUGGGUCAGGAGGCUUGGCCCAUCAAGAAGACAGUCCGAGGCUUGAUCCAACUGCUCGGAGUUUCGCGCAAGGAAACAAGACGUGGAGAUCAAGCCGGAUUCUAGUCGGUUAGAAUAGGAAUUGAUAUUGUGCUAUCUAUGGCAAUUGUAACCGACUAGGAUUAGUUUCCAGAUUUGUAACCCUGCCCUGUGGACUAUAUAAAGAGAGGCAAGGGACCCCCUAGGUAAUUCAUCUCAACACAAUCCAAUACAAUCAGACGUAGGACGUAGGUAUUAUGCCCACGCGGCGGCCGAACUUGGAUAAAAACCUAGUCUGUGUCUUGCGUCACCAUCAAGUUCGUAGCUUGCGCACCGUCUACCAAUAAACUACUACCGUGGGUAUACCCCAAGGUAGACUGCCAACUAGCUUUCGUCGACAGUGGCGCGCCAGGUAGGGGGUGUGCGUAUAGCUCUCCCGACGAACAAGAUGGUCAUCGUUCCAGCUUCCGCGGCCGUGGCUGAAGGCCUCACGUUCACCGUCGGCCACAUCACGUGGACGACUCAUGGCGGCGGCCUCAUGACCACGACUUCAGAAGAAACCCAGAUCUGAUAUGGGACAGCAGGGGCGUCGAUUCCGAUCACGCCGACACCGAGCACCCGACCUCCGCUCCCUCGUUACAGGGGGAAAAAGGUCGACGACUCGGAUCUUUUCCGAGCUCUGGAUCGCGCCGAUCUCAGGCUCCUCGAAGCUUCCAAACUGGUAGAUUGGAUCUCGUGCCAAUCUGAUCAAGCGGCGUCGAGAAACUCUUUUGACUCCUGCCGGCCAACUCGUGUCAUCACACACAAACAGCUGGGGACGUCUCUAACAAUAACGUCCACCCCCACGGGGCGGUCCGUCAAGCUCAAGACAGCUCAAGACCAGAGUCCCCCUUAUGGACUAAACAACUCGGCCGAUCACUACUCACGGCACACCUAAUCCCUUUUCAACAGGGCGGGUUGGUCGCCGAGACAGAGCAGCCGAGCAGCUCGCCACUACGUCAACAUGGUAUCGAUCCAAGUACUACCGAACGACAAGGCUACUAGUACGAACUCCAGCACAGGGUCUGUCCCUACCGAGGUUCUAAACUCCGAGGACGAAGAUUACGACCUGGAUUUACCACUGUAUCCUCCAGGUUUUUCUCGUUUCCCAGUCUUUCCACCUCGGCGAGGAGAUCUUAUCUUCAAUGUCAGCAACGAUGAACCGGUUGUCGACGGAAAAACAGACGAGCAGAAGCAGGUCCGUGAACAGCGCAAUGCCGAUCGUGCUCGACGACGUGCGGAUGAGGAACAGCAACUUGCGCUGCAUAACCUCAGUGAUGCUUUCGACAUGGUCGGAGAUCAGCCAGUCUACAAGACGCCAAGCGCUAACGUGGCUGUUGCUAUGGCAAACCUGGACCGACUCCCUGAUACUCCUGAGUGCCAGGGCGUCCGAUCCAGUAUACGCGCACAUCUGAUCGCCGCGAUGGGACAGACAACCACGUUACUCAAAAGGGUCCAAGCCAUCUCCUACACAGAGGUCUCUUCCGACCAGACUCAUCACAGCCGGACUUCACCACGACCCAGCGAGCGCCAUCAUAGCCGCUCUCCCAACAACCGCAGGAAGGACAUGGGGCGCGACAACCGUGGUCGGGACACCGGCGGCUACCGCGAGCAGAAGCGCGGGCGUGGUCAGGAAGUAAACCAGGACAGGGAUCUACGAUACAACAUCCCUCCCAAGGACGCCUGCGACCGCAUCAACAGGCGUGCUAGAGAAAGAGCGGUACACGAAAACUUGCAACGCAUUGAGUACGAUGCCACCCACGGCCCUCCUGGCCUAAGACAGUUUUCUUCACACCAUCGCCAAGUCGUAUGACCCCACAACUUUAAACUCGAGAAGCUUAAAAAAUAUGACGGCAAGGAAAACCCUAAAAACUGGAUCACUCUCUAAGAGAUCGCAGUUCGGUCAGCAGCUGGAGACGAGCACGUCAUGGCAAAUUACUUCCCAGUCGUCCUUGACCAGGCUGGCCAUCAGUGGCUCCUCGGCCUGCCCGAGGACUCUAUUGACUAUUGGGAAGAACUGCACCAGGCGUUUAUUGACAAUUUCAUCGCUACCUGCAAGCAGCCUGGGAACAAGUACGAUCUCGAGAGAAUAAGGGACCGGAAGAACGAGCCUUUAUGUGAUUACAUCCGACGGUUCUCGGAUAUGCGCCUCAAGAUUCCAAAAAUUUCUCACGACGAGGCCAUAUGAGCCUUCAUCAAAGGCCUACGCUUCCAUGAAGCAUUAAGGAAUAAACUACUACACAAACGGCCGACCACAGUUGCCGAGCUUCUCGCCACAGCAAAAAACUACGCCGAUGCCGACGACGCAGAAAAACUCAUUCGAGAAGAUGCGAGAGGCACCGACCAGCCUCCCCGACGAGACGACAACCGUGGACGCUUCGACAACAGGAACCCUCAUCGCGCUGACAACCGCGACCACAGAGAAGGUUGGGACAGAUGACGCGACAAUCGCGACGACUUCAGGGGCAAGCGACCUCGUGACCACGACCACGAGGUGAAUACAGUCAAGCGCCCCAAUGGGCGGCAAGACUACCAGGAAGACUACAACAAGACGUUGAAAGGACCAUGCCAACGCCAUCCCAAGUCCAAUCACACGAUGGAAGAAUGCUGUGUCCUCAAAAGCAUCUACACACAACGGGCUGCUCAAGGGGAUUUCGCCAAGAAAAACGGGAAGCAGGACAGACAUGGUUACGAAGACGAAGAUGACGACCAGGAUAGGGACCCACGACACCAGUAUGUCAGUCCCACCGACGUGGUCCAUUCUAUCUUUGGAGGCAAAGUUUCCAUCGAGUCCAAACAAGAGAGAAAGCUCCUGAAGAGAGCCUGCCUCAAUGUGGACAGCACAGACGGCCUGGUCGCCGACCCGAAGUUUACUCCCUGGUCGCACAGGGAGAUCUCCUUCAACAGGAAGGACCAAUGGGCCGCCAUCCCAGAACCAGGACGUUUCCCCCUGAUCCUGGAUCCUUGCAGCAACAGCGUCAGAUUCGAGCGCGUGCUCGUUGAUGGUGGCAGCUCCAUUGAUAUUCUCUUCCGCAAUAGCCUGCCUGCUCUCAAGCUAACCCCGGCGUAGCUAAAGCCGUAUGACGCUCAAUUCUAGGGAGUCCUGCCAGGUCAAAGUUUAGUACCCCUCAGACAGAUAACGCUGCCUGUCUAGUUUGGAACACCUGACCACUUUCGAACAGAGUUUGUCAACUUUGUGGUCGCCGACUUCGACGGCACUUACCAUGCAAUCCUGGGCCGACCAUCGCUGACAAAGUUCAUGGCAGUUCCACACUACUCAUACGUGGUCCUCAAGAUGCCAACAAAGAAGGGCGUCCUAACUGUCAGAGGCAAUGUCUACACCGCAUACACUUGCGAGGAGGAAAGCUUCAAGAUCAUCGAGGCAAUCGAUCUCUCGAUCCGCAUGGCAGAAAUCGUAGCCCAAGCUACGCAGGUUCCAUCCGACCAGCUUCAACUACCCGAACAGGAGACUCCGCGGAAAAAUUCAAAGUCCAAAGAGCACAAGGAGGUGCAGCUGGUCGACGGCAGCCCCGAGAAAACCGCUCUCAUCGGGGCUAACCUAGACCCCAAAUAGGAAGACGCGCUCGUCAGGUUUCUAAGGGACAACAUAAGCGUUUUCGCAUGGAAACCCGUAGACAUGCCCGGCGUCCCAUGAAACCUGAUCGAGCACUCCUUAAACAUCUCGAAAACUGCAAGACCUAUCAAGCAGAAGCUACGACGGUUCGCUCGUGACAAAAAGGAGGCUAUUAGGACAGAAAUAACACGGCUUCUAGCAGCCAGAUUCAUUAAAGAAGUGUAUCAUCCUGAUUGGCUCGCCAAUCCGGUUCUUGUAAGAAAAAAGAAUAAUGAAUGGAUAAUGUGCGUUGAUUACACUGAUCUCAAUAAACACUGUCCUAAAGAUCCCUUUGGUCUCCCUCGCAUCGACGAGGUGGUCGACUCAACGGCCGGAUGCGAAGUCCUCUCUUUUCUAGAUUGCUACUCUGGUUAUCACCAGAUCUCACUAAAGGAAGACGACCAGAUCAAAACAUCUUUUAUCACUCCUUUCGGUGCAUACUGCUACACGACCAUGUCCUUCGGGCUCAAAAAUGCUGGAGCUACUUAUCAACGGGCCAUUCAGCAAUGCCUCCACGACGAGAUUCUUGACGACCUCGUCGAGGCCUAUGUAGAUGACGUCGUCGUCAAAACAAGGGACGCAAGCACUCUAAUCGACAACCUAGACCGAACUUUUAAGGCACUGAAUAAAUACAAGUGGAAGCUUAACCCCAAAAAGUGUAUCUUUGGGGUCCCCUCUGGACUACUGCUCGGCAACGUCGUCAGCCGCGACGGCAUAUGACCGAAUCCUUCAAAAGUUAAGGUAGUACUCGAUAUGCGACCACCUAAGAAUCUCAAGGAUAUUCAAAAGCUCACCGGAUGUAUGGCUGCUCUCAGCCGUUUUAUCUCUAGGAUGGGAGAAAAAGGCCUCCCCUUCUUCAAACUUCUAAAGGCGCCGGAAAAAUUCUCCUGGACAGAGGAAGCCGACGCUGCAUUCACCCAGCUCAAAACUUUCCUCACCUCACCACCCGUCCUCACAGCACCUCAACCUAAUGAGGACCUGCUCCUUUACAUAGCAGCAACAGAUCGGUUUGUUUCCACGACAAUGGUGGUCGAACGGGACGAGCCAGGCCACGUCUACAAAGUCCAGAGGCCUGCUUCAUAAGCAAAGUCUUAAUGAAUCCAAGACCAGGUAUCCUCAGGUACAAAAGUUAAUUUACGCCAUCCUGAUAACCUCAAGGAAGCUGAAGCAUUACUUCGAUGGCCAUCGGGUCUUAGUAACCACCAGUUUCCCUUUGGGGGACACUUUGCGCAACAAGGACACCAACGACAGAAUUGUAAAAUGGGCAAUGGAAUUAUGCCCAUUCUCCCUGGAUUUCCAGAGUCGCACUACCGUCAAGUCCCAGGCCCUGGUCGAUUUCAUCGCGGAAUGGACGGACCUCAACGAGCCCUCCUCUUCGGAUACCUCCGACCACUGGUCAAUGUUCUUUGAUGGGUCGCUAAAAUAUCAAUGGCACCGACGCCGGAAUACUCUUUGUGUCGCCUAACAAGGACAAACUUCGUUACUGUUGACGGUCCUUAAUGCUCACAUUUAACCAUCAACUAAUCAUGGAAAAAAGACUUAUAUGCAGCCAACACCUAGACUUAGGGUUUUAUCUGACAGAAUUCCACGAGUUUUGGUGUUUGUCUAUUUCUGCAGGGGGUUAUCAGGAAAUAUGAAAGAAAGGCCCACACGUCGGGUUUACAUAGAGAUAUUAACGUGCCGUGUAAUUUUCUACCAUUUAGAAGACUCCAGAAGCCACGGGAACGAACGGGAGGCCGAUCGGGCCCGGGGGCAGGGCGCCCGCCCAGCUACAGUAACCAAUCAGCUUCAACUUCGCGGAUCAUGCUCCACCGACCUAAGGGACCAAGGAAAACCGUGCGAUUAUUGUCGGUUUGAUCCGACGGCCCAGAUUCAUCUGAAAAGACUAUAUAAGCAAGCCCCCCUGGCCCCUAGAGAGCAUACCUCUUCUACAGAAUCAAAGCUAGGGUUUCAAUUCUUCAUCCAAGUAGAGAGGAUCCCUCUAGUUCUUCUAGUUCUACCUCUAGUUCAUCUAGAUCUAGUUCUAGUUCAUCUAGUUCUAGUUCUAGUUCCUCUAGUUCUAGUUCUAGUUUGUUCUAGUUGUAAUCUAGAAAAUAGGGAGAGAGAAGAGGAGAGCGGAGGAGGAGCCGGAUAUGUCGGAUCUUCCUCAACAUUGUACUUUUGCAGCAACUGGUUCGUUCUUCAUCGUUCUCCAGGUUCUUCAAUUCAUAAUUCCUGAGUUCUUUAAUUACUUUUAUUUACAUUCAAGUUAUUUAUUAGAUUCCUGCUUGCAUCAAGUGCUCUAAUCAUUAUAACACUAGAGUAGUAAUUAAUAGAUUAGAUGUGGUGUUUAGUCUUGCAAUUACCUGGAAUUGCACCAAAUCCUGCGGAUUGUUGUGGUAGCCUUAGGGUAGUGACAGCCCUAACGGUUGACGUAUUCCACCUCAUUCGGAUCGGUGUUUGUAGGACCGUAGUCAGACCUUCCUAGCCCCCUUCUCAUCUCUUUCUGUGGUUAGUGCUCUGAUGUCCCGAUAUAGAUAAUCUUGAAGUAAUUCUUGAUUCUUAGAUCAACUAGAGAACUCUCAGGAAACUUCCUCUCUUCCCACAAAAAAUAUUCAUAUAGUUAUCCUUGGGCCAUCUUGGAUCUUAAUUAGUACACUCACGUUCUCUGUGGAAAAUCGAUACUCUCGAAUACUCCCGGGUGAAAGCUACAUCGGUAUCCGUGCGCUUGCGGAUUUUUCUGUUUGCGUUUAAAAUACCCAACAGUUACGUUCUUAGGAUCCUCUUUCCGACAUCCAACAACGUCGCCGAAUACGAAGCAUGCCUACAUGGCAUACGACUGGCCGUCGAACUGGGAGUCAAACGCCUUUACGUCCACGGUGACUCCGCCCUAGUCAUCAACCAGUUAAACAAGGAAUGUGACACAACCCACAAAAAGAUGGACCUCUAUUGCAAAGAAAUUCGGAAAUGGGAAUCCAAUUUCUACGGCAUAGAAUACAUACAUGUGGUCCGGGAUAGGAACCAGGCAGCAGAUGCGUUGUCAAAAAUAGGGUCAUCUCGGGCCCAGAUUCCGCAAGGCGUUUUCGUUCAAGACAUCCACACGCCAAGUGUCGGUAUAGACCUGGUCGACAAGCAAGCCAAUGAGGCAAUGCUCAUAGACAAUACCAAUCCGACAACCAGCGGCCAUGAUUGGCACACUCCCUUCAUCAAGUAUAUAUCGAAUAGAUCGGGUUUUCAAGAUAAAACGGAGAACGAGCGCCUCAUUCGGUGGUCCAAGAAUUACAUACUGGUUGACGGCAAACUUAUGCGAAAGAAUGCAAGCUCAGAAGUGUUGCUGAAAUGCAUAUCCCAGGAUGAUGGCGUCAAGCUCUUAGAUGACAUACAUGCCGGGUCCUGCGCCAACCACGCUGCCUCCAGAACACUGGUCGGGAAGGCCUUCCGAGCAGGUUUCUACUGGCCAACCGUGGUCACCGAUGCUGAGAAACUGGUCCGACGCUGUGAAGGAUGCCAGUUCUUUGCCAAGAGGACCCACGUGCCUGCUCACGAGAUUCAAACGAUUCCGUCGUCCUGGCCUUUUGCCUGUUGGGGCCUUGACAUGAUCGGGCCAUUUAAGCCGGCCCCCGGCAACUUCAAGUUCAUCUUCAUGCUAAUCGACAAGUUCUCGAAGUGGAUUGAGUACACGCCACUGGUCAAAGCAACCUCCAAGAAGGCUGUGGAUUUCCUCAAUCAAAUCAUACACAGAUUCGGGAUCCCCAAUAGCAUAAUCACUGACCUGGGCACUCAGUUCACCGGCACUACAUUUUGGGACUUCUGCGAUGACAGGGGCAUAGUCAUAAAGUAUGUGUCGGUAGCUCACCCACGGGCCAACGGUCAAGUGGAGCGAGCGAAUGGAACGAUCAUCGAUGCUCUAAAGAAAAGACUGUACAUGGAAAACGACAAAGCACCAGGACGAUGGAUGAAAGAGUUACCAGCUGUGGUCUGGGGUCUCUGGACACAGGCCAGCCGCAAUAUGGGUGUAUCACCCUACUUCAUGGUUUACGGCACUGAAGCAGUGCUCCCUUCCGACGUAACCUUUGGAUCUCCAAGAGUCGAGAAUUUCGACCAGUCUUCGGCUGACCUCGCCAGAGAGCUCGAAAAUCAACUACACAGAAGAAAGGCGCCUAACCUCGUGCCUUCCAACAGCAAAGUAUCUCGAAGCUGUUAGAUGGUACCACAACAGGAACGUCAAAGACCACUCCUUCAUGGUCGGUGAUCUGGUACUCAAGUGGACAACAAGCUAGGAAGGAAUGCACAAGUUAUCUACACCUUGGGAAGGACCCUUUGUGGUCGCCGAAGUCACACGCCCUACAUCUUACAGACUGGCGUACCCAGACGGGACACGCUUUCCCAACUCCUGGCACAUAGACAAGCUGCGCCGUUUCUAUCCCUAAGUUCCAGUACAUUUCAUUUGUAAAUCUCUUACGAUCAGUAGUAAUAAACAUUUUUUAUUUCUUGCUAUAUACUUCUUUUAUAUGUAGAACUUUCGACAAGUGUCACAAUCUUCUUUUAGGACGAAGGUCCUUAAGGGUUAUCCACCCGACUCAGUGAUACAUCACUCAGACAACAUUGUAGCACUCAAAACCAUGGUUAUGAUAAAUCAACCUUUAUUACAAACUUUAUAUACAAAGUUUACAAUAAACACCCCUCUGGGCGGUCCCUAGUCUACUUCUACAGACUACUCUACAGGCCUACUGCUCGGGCUGAUCACCCGCACGGCCCUGCUGUCCAGUCGAAGGGGUCGGGGCCACCGACGUCUGGCUGGUCGAGACCGCAGGCGUCGACCGCCCAUGUCCUGCAAUGGACGCCCCCGACAACUCUCUGGCCGACCUAUCUGACCCGGGCUGGUUAGGGGGAGUUGCUGUCCCGCAGAGGUUGAUGUCACCGAUCAAUGUCGACGACAGAUCGAGCAGACCAACACGAAGGUCGUCUGCCUCCUGCGGACCAACCUCCUUGGGAUACCCCUCUCCAGCUGGGACAAGUCGACCAAGGGGUAGUGGGCACGCACCAUGCUGAGGACGUGCGCACCGGCAAAUUCCCUGGCGUCCGUGACAAACUGCUGAAGCCAGCCCCACGCUCGUUGCGCCUUCUCGACCGGGGUCAGCCUCGGUGCAUGGGGCUGGUCUUCGGGAAGCUCGGGGCUGAUCAAGUCAAGAACCGGGAUUACUUCUUUCUAGAUCUUGAUACAGUUGGCCUUCCAGGAGUCGCGGUCCUUGACCAGGUCGUCGAGGUGUUUCUUCGUAUUGACUUUAAGCACUAUAGAAAUGCAAGCAAGAGGUCAGUAUAAAGCGAGAGGAGGAAAGUUGUGUAAACAAAAGCAGCGAAAUGGCUCCUACCAGCCAACUCUCGACUCCUAUUCUUCAGCUCCUUGUUAGCCUGCUGCCCGGCCUCCAGCGCGUCGGCAUGCUCCUGGUCGAGCCGUUCCUUUUCUUGUCGGAGGCGUGCAACCUCCUCCUCCAAGUCUGUAGGAGUAAUUGCUGGUCAACAAAACCGACCACGCGGUUAUAUACAACUGCUCAGAAUGCAUGACUCCCCUUUCUUUUCCGGAUCCUUGUCGGCUAGUCGCCGAUUGAGAUCGAGCAGGCGCUCUUCCUGAGCACCCAUCUCGGCCGCCUUCUCCUCGGCCUCUGACCGAAGACGGUCUACUUCUGCGGUCAGGGCCUUAUUCUUGGCCACGACCCUUCAAUCUGGUCGAAGCACCUUUUCCUGUACUUCACCGUUUUCAUUGCGCCCUACACAGGAAUUACAUAUAUUGAAGCAAGCGACAGUACAUAUACAUUUCAGGCAGAACGCAAGACCGCUUACCUUAACCUCAUCAACGAGCCGCUUAGCUGCGCGCUCCACCCUCGCGCCUCCUCCGUCUCCGCGAGUUCUUCAUGACCAAUGAAAUGGUCCCCACGUUGGCGCCACACGUAAACGUGUUGGCGACCAUCAUGGGGGCGACCUUGGAUUUCUUCUACUUCGUCGUCGGAGGCCGCCUGGGUCUCCUCGCCCUCUGCGCUACCCCCAACCAUGGUCACAGGUAUCACUAGACCCUUAUCACGGCCAGGGGAGCCCUUUGGCGAAGAGGUUUCUGUUUGGGGUGGAGUUGGGGCCCUCCUUUCUUCAGCGGGCGGGGGAGUCGGCGCCCUGUCUCCCUCCUCCGCGACACUGCUCGGGGGAGGCGUCCUUGCAGCCUCAUCCCUUGCAGGAGUGCUCACUCCGGUCCUCGCCUGAGCUGGGUCCUCCUCGGCAGUCUCCGCCGCGAUCACCACCGUGGGCUGCACCUCGGUUUGUUCCUGGGUGGUCUGUUGCGCGACGUCUUUGACGACAACCGCUGGCUCGGCCGUCUUCUGGCUAUCGACGUUGUCCGGAUCAACGUCAGACGCCGUACUAACAAAAAUGCGACAUUUUACCAAUGUCAAAAAAUGCAGCACCAAAACAAAAAACAAAUAGGAGGAAGCGUAGAAGUGAGAUUAUACAACUUAUAGAUCGGAGCGCCUAUGUGUCGCUGUGAAGAACCUCCUUCUGGUCCUACCAGUCGCCGCCGCCGCCUCUGUCUCUCCAAGACGCGUCGGCUCGGCGUGUGGGGCAGGAGGGUCACUGGUCACCCAACCAGUAGUGAUCGGCGCGACGUCUGGACGACUGCGCGGCCUUCGGACCAAAGAGGGCACAGCCUCCUCCUCCUCCUCCUCAUCGUCGGCGAUCCUAAUGAGCCAACGACGCUUCGGAGCUUGGCUGGUCUCCGCCGGCAGCGUCUCCGCAGGAGAUGGAUCCACCGCCAUUGGCCUUUUCCCCGCCACCCUGUCCUCAGUGGUCGGGGCAGGGCGGUUCUGUUCCUACUCACUGCUGGUGUAUUGAGGACACCGAGCAGCAUCGCCCUCCGGCGGGUCCAUCCCCGCAGGAUUCUCCAUACCAGGUGCCAGUGACACGUACACUGCGCACCGGUCAAUGUCUCCAAUCUGCAAUAACAACCAACAACAAGUCAUCAACCAAGAGGCAACAGUAUUCACAUGACAAUACUAAUCAAUAACAAUAUUUAUUUACCUUAGGAGCUGGCCGUUGUUGACGGUCCUUAAGUAUCAAAUUUAAUUAUCAAAUAAACAAAGAAAAGGAUCCAAAUGAAAUCAACAUCUAGACUUAGGGUUUUAUCUGAUAGAAUUCCACGAGUUUUGGUGUUUGUCUAUUUCUGCAGGGGGUUAUCAGGAAAUAAGAAAGAAAGGCCCACAUGUCAGGAUUACAUAGAGAUAUCAACGCACCGCGCAAUUUUCUACCAUCUAGAAGACUCCAAAAGCCACGAGACCGAAGCGGAGGCGAAACGGGGCCAGGACCUGGGUGCCCGCCCAGUUUCCUUGGGCGCCCGCCCACCUGCCGAGGCCAAUCAGGACUCUUUCUCUCGGGAGAUCUCCACCGACCUAUUGGAUUCAGAAUAACGUAGUACCACCUCGCCUACCGACCCAAAAACGCAUAGAAGGGGAGGACUAUAUAAGGAGACCCCCCUGGCCCCUGCAGAAGACAAGAAAUUAUCAUAGAGAUUGAGGGGUGCUCUCGAAGGAAAACCUCUUCUCUAAAUAAUAUUUCUUUUUAGGCUUAGCAACCAAUGUAAAGUAGAAAUAGAUCUUCUAGUUUCUACUAGAUUGAGAGAGAUAGAGUGGAGGUGUGGAUCGGAGGAAGGCCGGCCUGUCGGUGUCUACUCCGAGUUGUACCUGUGGGAUCAAGUCUCCUAACCCGAGGCUUGCUUCUAAGAUUCUUCAGUAAUUCGACUUCUAAUUCUAGUAAGUUCUUGUUUUAUUGUUCUUUGGUUUAUGAGUUUACUUUAAUCCUCUUCCGGUUGAGUGUUAGAGUAAUCACUUGCUAGCGUAAACGUGGUGUUUAGGCUAGGGUACUCAUAGAUAUCCCAUGACUAGCUGGACCGUGGUAGUAGCGAGGAACGUGACAUUUCCGAGUUACCUUUGUAUCCCAUAUCUUGUUAGUAGGACGGGUAGGUUUAUAGGUGCGGGUCGAACAUCCUUUGUGUUGUCUAGAUUCCGUGAGCCUCCCCAAUAGAACGGUAGAUCAUCCUUACCAAGGUUAGAAUGAGACUACGGUUGCAGUCUUCUCUAUACAUCACUCACAUCGAGAGACAUUCUUUGUAGCCUAAAGGGAUAGUAGCAAUAGAUUUGGUUAGUCAGAUGCACCCUUUCUCCCAGUGGUAAAAAUAUAAAUACGAUACUCUGGAAAACCUCCCGGGUGAAAUGCUCACCGAUAUCCGUGCGCUUGCGUUACCAAAUAUCAACAAGCAUUUCUGGCACCGUUGCCGGGGAGAAAGACGGUUUGCUGAGAUAACUUUGAGUCUUGCUAUUAUCUUGUAUUAUACUUUUAUGCUUUUAUUCUUUUAUCUUUUUAUUUUUAUAUUUAUGGAUACUUUAAAUUCUAUACCUAUUAUUAAAUUCUUUACACCUUCGGAGACCAGCCAUAGACCAUGGGAGUCAACACGUCCUGCCCCUAAUUAUGAUCUGUGUCCGGAGUUGAUUGCAAUAGGUCAAAACCAACCCUUUUCUAUAGCCGAGGUCCUAUCUUUUAAUCAAGAAGAUAAUGCACUUUUAGCUACACCUAGGGAAUCUUUUAAUCUUUCUAUAAAUUCUGGUUUAGACCUAGCCCUACAAGACCAUGUUUUUCCUGAAUAUUUUCACAUUGGCCUUAAUCAUAUAACCUUUGGUAGAGUCCUUCUUUCUUUAUCUAUUAGUAAAGGAAGGUAUGUCUUCAUUCGUGGACAUCCUUCUUGUACUAGUCUUCAUAGAAAAAUCUUAGAAAUAGAGAAGGAAUCAUCUCCCAUACAAGGAAAGGAAGUUUCAAUAGCCAAUUUCCAAACAUUUCAAUCCCAUGAUUCGGCUAUCCAUCCCAUCCUUGAGUUUAAUAGUUUCUACUAUGCUCUUUCUCUUGAACCUCCCGAUAAUCCUAUGAAUCUCUCUAGACAUCCCAUGCAUAAGAAGGAGGAUCGAGAAGAGCAACAUCGAUGGCUAGAGGGCAUUAAAAAUCCAUGUGCUAUCACCAUUGAAUGGAUAGAUAAAACAAACUUGAGAGACAAUCCUAGAGGAAUUUUGAGCACUCAUGAAGAAUCAUCCUUGGAGUUUGAGAAUGAGAGAAACAACAGUGAGCAUGGAAGUUAUUUCAUAAAUACUUUACCAAGUCCUUGCUCAUAUAAAACAUCUCUCCAAUCAAUUGGUCUCUCCAUCCUUACCACAUUUGAGAUCUCCAACCCCCUCUUCCUUUCUAUUUAUAAAAACUUUAAAAGGGCGGUUGUCGAUGCAUAUGUCUAUAAUAAAUAUUGCAGAUCUCGUCGAGUUAAUUGAUGGUUUCCCAAGGACAAGCUUAGUGUCCUAAAACAAGCACUUAUCAGAUCGUAACAUGAACUUCUAAUUACUUGCAACAUUACCUUGUGUUGAGCAUAUAAGAUAAUUGUAGAAAUAUUCCUUCGGGUAUUCUUGUCACUAACCUUUUUAGGAUUGGAGCAAGAAGACCGGAUGAAUGACAAGCGCAAGGUAUGCCCAACCAAUCAACAUGCAACAUUGAAUUAAAUUCAUCCAAUCUUGAAUUUUGCAAAAUUCAAGCUUGGGGGAGUACUUCACAUAAAAACAUCCUUUGCCAUGUUGCUAUGUUGGUUGUCCUUACCUUUGAGACAUGCUCAAUUUGUUAAAUACUAAUCACACUACUUCAUCUCCACUUGAGUAGAUCUCUAUAAAAGCCAUCAUGCUACCUUUGUUUAUCCUAGUAAGUGUUAAUUUGGAAGUACUGGACACACUUCCAAUGGCAUUUAAAUUAAGCGUGGUGCUUAGGUUAAAUAGCCUUCCUUAAUCUGAUUAGACAUGGAGUCUAGUUUGGUUACUGAACUAAAAACUGCUUGAGUAGAUAUUGGUAUAUUUUGUGGGACUAACCCCUGCAGGAGAACUUUCAAUAUCAACCUGGGAAGUCCUGAGAUAAACUCACAUUGGAGAUGAAGAAAGUGACACAUGAAGUUUAACAAUUUGCACAAGAAAGACGUAGCUCAUAAGAGAUGAUUCAUGGAGGGUGCCACAAACACGAUGCACAACUGCUAAGAAAGGAAAGCUUCCACAAGGUGAUACUAUACCAUCACUCUUCAAUAACAUCUUAAAGUACUUGAUUAUCACUUUUAUAAGUUCUCCUUGGUUCUGGCAUACACAUGAAUAAAAGAGACAAACAUGUAUGAUUUAUAACUCCAAAUUAACCAACUCAAUUAAUUCAGCAUGUUUAGUCCUUUAAUCUUUGUUCUUAGUACUACCUUCGUGAUCCCACACUCCUAAUCAUAUAAGCUAAAGUAUUGCACAUUCAAUCUUUGGAAGAUAUAAACAAAACAUAAAUAUAGAUAGAUUAUCUUUCCAUUAGGUUGAGCCAUCUGAUCUAACAAAUGUUUUAAAUGCUACACUCAUGAUCCAUCAACUUUGCCUUGCUCACUAUGCUUAAGGUUAGAGAAGAACAAAUACACUUUUGGUUCUGUUGGUGUUUUCCACCAACAGGGCCCAUGCACUUGAUCUCUGUUGACACUUCUUAACGCAACCACCGGAUAUCGGCGACGGCGCCAGAAGUGCCCUGGUAGGGUAACUCUAUUUACUAUUGGAUAAUUCCGCAAGCGCACAGAAUGUACCGCUGUAGCACUUCACCAAGGAGUAUUCCAAGGUAUCGUAAUUUAUAUUUUCCCAAGGGAAAGCGGCUAAGUGUGUUUAACAAAAAGGGGAAUGAGAUUCCUUGAGUUAUCUAGUAUCAACUAGUGAAUAAGGGUGGUAAAUAACAAAUAGGAAGGGUAGUGGUGAAUCCAAGGUCCUAUGCUAAAGGUAAAUGGUAGAGUUAGCUAGGUGGGAGGACAACGAGUGAGUAAAGGACUCCUAUGUAUCUAACUUGACUUUUGUGACUUACUUUAAUAGAUAAUUGUCUUAACUACGCUAGAGCCUUACUAACUGUGUGCGAGGGAUAGCCGAGCUGGUAAGACGCUUAGAAGGUUUUUCACCUAACCCCUUACCGAAAGCGACUAUUGGGCUUAUGGACGCCUUACCUUUUAAGAACUAGCCUGUACGUGAGGAGAACCUAAUGCCGCCCACGAUCUGUCACCUACUAGGGAGUGCGCUCCUACUUUCCGUUCAAGCCAGCGGUAAUCAAAGGUAAUCUUAAGUAUGAGCACCACGCUCACACUUAAUCCUACAACGCUAACUAGUUGCAGCUAGCUAGAGCUCCUAUACAAGAUAGGACGAUGAUGCACACACAGGAGUGGUUACAGGUCACUAACUUCACUAAGACAACUAUAUUACUAAAGUAAAUGCACAACAAGACUAAAAGACUUGCACUAAGUAACAACUUAGUAAAGUAAAGUAAGAAUAAUAUAUUAAUAAAAGGAAAGUCUUACAAAAGUAGAAAGGUACAAGAGCUAUACCAGACUCUCCAGAAGACGACUCCGGAGACCCCGAGCUUCGCUCGACUCGACUCUAACUCCCACUCUAGACUAACUACUACUCUACUUGUAUGCUUGGAACUUGUAAUGCACUUGGCCUUGGAAUUGCACACUUGAAAUGAAGGAUGGAGGCUGCCUUUUAUAGAGGGAGAUGGAGUAGGGGUUACUCCAUCGCCACGUCAUCGAUCCGCGUGACAUCUUCUCUCCACCCUUGGAUCAAACCGACCUCACAACCGCCAUUUGAUCAACGGCAGGGGCAAAUCAACAUGUGGGACAUGUGGGGAAGGUCGGUGGGAGGCCACCGACCCUGGAACCGCCUUUGAUGUGGGGUCGGGCGACCCCACUUCUGGGCCUCUGGGCCCACCAGCAGUGUCCACAGGGGUCCCUUAUGUCGGUGGACUAGGUGGCACACCUGGGUCCCACCAAAGAGGGGUCGGGCGACCCCCUCCCUGUGGGCCCAGGGUGUCACCUGUUGUCCCCUCGAUCUCCUCUUGAUGAUUCUGAUGUUGGCUUUGUCAAAUAAUGUCUUGAAUUUGUUGUUCCUGCAUAAACAAGCUAAGAGUACAAGUGGAACUAGUUAUGGAUAAAAUAUGUUCAUGUCAUGUCGUUUCCCCUUGCAACCGAGGCAUGUUGACGGUGUUUUGUAUGUGGAUUUCUAUGGUAUAUCCACCGUCAACAAGAUCCCCCAAGCUUAACCUUUGCUCGUCCCGAGCAAACAAUCAAACUUAGCCUCGGUGGAUCAGGUAUUGUUACUAUGUUCACAUUUCAAGAGUACCAUGUGUACAACAAAGUUCUUCUCUUUGCAUGAAAAAUUUAGCUAUGUAAACUUACCCCUAUUACCUUAGUCCCUUAUGGGGCUUAUGGCUUUUCCUUUGUCUUAGGUGGUUGAGAGACAGAACAGUUUGACUUGAGCACUAACUUUCUCAUUCUUAGCAAGUUUGAUAUCAGAGGUUUUGUGAUAUUUUCAAAAGAAAGCUUAAAUGUUCCUCUUAUGGUUCUCUCAUGUCACUCAAAUGGUGUAUGAUUCCUCACCAAGGCAUAUGGUCAGAGUUGCCUUCUCUAUUUCAUCCUAUUUCUAAAAGGCUUAUGUGGAGUUCAAGGUAGGGAUGAAAGGAGAUAGCAUACUUACUUUGCAUGUAUUGCGAAGUCAAAGCUCGGAUCCUUGAAGAGAAGUGUCAUACUCCCAGAUCAAGAUGUGCAAGUGUGAUAUAUGGUGGAACUAGGUUGCUCCUUUAUUUGAUAGACUCUCUAUGUAUUGAGACAUGGCUAGCAUUUUUUUCUUUUUUUUUUGUUUAUAUAUGAGCUUUCAUGUGCUCAAUUUUCUUUUUCUGUGGACUUGCACAUGUCCAUCUUUUUAUUUCAUUUUGCCUAGCCUUUUGAUGUCUCAUUUACCAAAUAAUGCUUAGAGAGAUGUUCUAACAUUUAGAGUAUGGAGCAACCUAUUUAGUGGAUGCGAAAUACAUGUGGUUGCGUACUUCCAGUGUAGAAGCAGCAUAUAUAUAUGUGGUGUGUACGUGAUCUUGAUCUUAGGAGCAUGAAAAGUCUCUUAACAAGGGUCAACAAGACUUGACGACACUCAACACAAAGCAAAUAGCUUAUGUGGAAAGGUUGCAAUUAUGUAAAGUAGAUAUGGCUGUGGUAGGAAUUCAUCACCAUUGAGGAACAAUUAAGGUUUUGAUCAUUUUAAGAAUAAAUCUCUGAUAAUCAUGCAUGCUUAGAAAAAUAUUAUAGUAGCUCUUGUCUUACUAUCUCAUGUCCCACAACAACUUAGACUUAGUUCUAGCACUUGCAACCCACAAAGUUUUUAGGUUCAUGGCAGUUUAAGUGAGCUAAGUGAUCCAUACUUAGAGAAAUACUAAGUUGUAUACUAGGCACUAGAGAAACAUUAACAAGCAACUAGUCAUAAUUUCCAUGAGGGAUAUAAACAUACAUGAAGCAUAUAUGCUAAAGGGAAAUGCUAAUAAAUAUUUAUUUAUUUUUUUAAGUAAGAAUGAUAAAAUGUAUGAAAAUAAAUAGGAUAGAAUACUUACCUUAGUGGGGGAGAGGAUCUCCCCCAAGCUAGAUCUUCGCUCACUGUGGUGGCGGGAAAUUCUGGUACCAUCCGGCCCAACGUUGUGCGUCUUCCUCUCGCACACGUCGGAUAUGUUGGCCGUUUUGUAACGCCAGUUGCAAUGUUGCUUCUUGCCCAAUCUGCAAUUCGCCCAUGUCAUUAAUGAGACUGUCCAUACCUGUGGGCUGGUGACGCCUAGCCCUGUCCCUUGGGCGUGGAGUGCGUUGUGGAGGUAGACCCAUGGAGUCUGAAGCAUCCACUGACAUCGCUUCAUCGCCCUCUUCAACAUCAUGGUGCGAGGAUCCUCCUUGCUCCAUCUGGGCGGCUUGCAUCAUCCUUCUUGUCACCCUGCGUGUCCCUGCAACAUCUGGACUUGCCACUCGGGCUAGUCUAAUGGUAAGUGUGCGGACCCCAUACAACCGGCGCCUCGCACAUGGGAGAGGAAUUUCGGUUGUAUAGCCCGGAUAAAUCAUUUUAAGUUCACCAUUUGGAUCUCUUAUGAGCAUGUUAGCAUUGAUAAAGAAGUUCUCAUCUACCACUCCUCUAACAUAGCCAAUGUCUUCAAAAUAAUGUGAUUCAAGUAAUCCAAAAGUAUCGGCUAUUCGAGUAAUAAAGGAUGUGAAAUAGAUGGGCUUCCCAUACUCAAUAGAGUUAAGCCAAUAGUUCACUAGCAGUUUCACAGGGGAGACCUUGAUUUUACUAACCAUGGCAUAGAGAAUUUUAAGUUCAUCAUCAAUUAAAGUAUCAGUUCCCAUGCCAGGAUAUAGAGUGCACAUGAUCCAGAAGUGAAGAAAGCGCAAGGUUGGAUUAUGGAUUUCAAUGGGAGUAGGAUUUGAACAAUCAUUAGAGCCAGAAAUUGCUUUCCAGAAUCUAAAUUUAUCGAACAUUCUAGUGGCAUGAUCUAGAUCAAGUUCACAUUCAUGUUCACACCCUAAAGCAGUGUUUAGCAAACUCCAAUUUAAUUGAUGUUCUUGCUCACACAUGCGAAAAGAUAUUCCAUUAUUUGUGAGUUUUAGGGUGCAUAGAAAUUCCUUAGCAAGCAAUUCUUUUCCAAAUUCAGGCACUUGCCAAAAACUACUCCAACCAAUUGCUCUAAACACCUUAUCGAAUUCAACAUCCAUACCUGUGCGGGCCAAAAGGUCCGGAUCGAUGAUGCUAGUGUGUAGGAAGAGACCCUCUCGGAUGAUGUAGUACCUUUGCAACUCUUCUUGGCUUAACAUGAGGCCGCUCUCGGGCUCUCUCAUCCUUGAUGGAGGCUCGUAGGGUACCAUCCCAUGGUAACCUUCUUCUUUCUCCCUUCCAUGAGCAUGGUGAGAGCCUUGAGAAGAGCUCUCACCCUUUGCUUUCUUGAACUUGCCGAAGAUAUGCUUCUUCAUCCUCCUACACAAGUGAGGCAAACCAAGCUCCUACUACUACUACUAUGCAAGGGGAAUCUUUUUGGGUUUUUGUUUUGAUGACUAUUUCUAAACUAAACUUGAGAAAUGGCUUGUAACAAAGAGAGAAGAGAAAGGAUUGUGAGCUCGAAAUGGUUCUGGUGGUUUUGGGUGUGGAGUUGAGCUCACAAUGCUGUGGUAUUUAUAGGGGGAGAAGGGCAAGUAGUGGACCCACAAUAUAGGGGUCGGCCGACCCCCCCUAGAAGCACUUUGAAUUUGAGUUUAGCUUUAUACAGGGAACCAUUCUGCAUGCUUUCAAGAUUUUGCAGAGAUGGUCCAAAAUGGGGGUCGGCCGACCCCCAUCCUAGCCCCUCCUCCACUUUAAACAUUGUGUCAUUGAUUGUCCGGAAAAGUAAAGGCUAGGUGUGGACCAAAAGUUUUCAAAUUGUUUCUGAGAUUCCCUGUUUUAGUGCUUUGUGAAAGGUAAAAGAUGAAUGGCAAAAGUGGAGACAUGUCUAAAGUGAUUCCUAUGGACCAUGGGAGCACUCAAGCAUGCCUAGGUGACCACUUUGCAGAAUUUAAGCUAGUGGAGUGGUCCCAAAAGAAUCAAAGAUGAAAGGAGCAUCUUAUGACUAAAGUAAAGGAUCAAGGGACCACUCUUUUUCAAACUUCAGCUAGUGUUACAAGCAUAGGACUCCAUUGUGAUUCAAAUGGUGGCCAGCAGGAGGCAAGUGGGGCCAAUAUGGGGGUCGGCCGACCCCCACAUUGGAGCUCCCAGAGCAUCCAAGUGCUGGGUUGGAACCUCUAUGACUAGCAAGGUUGAAAUGCGGUGAAGUGGGCCCCAAGGUGGGGUCGGGCGACCCCCCUUUGGGAGCUCCAGCAGCUCAAAUUUUUAUGACAAGUUAUUCUCAAGAUUUUAUUUAUUAUGGCUAAACAUUUUGUCGAAAUAAGAUAUGCAAAAUUCAAAGUAAGAAUGCAAUUGAAAAGUGAAUAGUAGAAAUUGAAAUGCAGAAAAUAAAUAUGGGAUAACUACUGAUUUACCUUAUCAGCAAGGGCUCCAUGUUUUAGGUCCAUAGAGCAGGACCUCUCCAUCUUGUUCAUCCUUCGGGUGCAUCAGAUGGUCCCGGAGACGUGGACCUUGAUUGCACCUCUUUCUCCCGCCAUACUUGCUUGGUAUUGAUUUUUGGUUCAGCGGGUUCCUCUUCUUUCUUUUCGGCCCUUUUGGCCGACUUACCUCUCUUGUCCCUUCGGCGUCGGAUGUGGCGAGGCUUAGUCGGAGGUUCUUUGUCCUUCACCUGCAUGUUAGCUUUAUAACCAUUGAAUGGACAUUUUACCUUCCAUCCUGGGAAUUGGAGGUGAAUCUGGCCGGACCCCACAUAGAUGACUGCAUUGACCGUGUUGAGGAAUGGCCUUCCCAAGAUGAUCGAGACAUCAUUAUUGGAUCCCAUAUCUAGAAUGAUGAAGUCGGCAGGGACGUAGUCGUCUUGAACCUUUACCAGUAUGUCCCUUGCCAACCCCUCAGGGAACCUGAUCGUCUGAUCUGCCAUCUGCAAACGAACAAAUGUGGGGUGCAAAGGCCCCCCUAGCAAAUUAUCAUAAGUUACCUUGGCCAUGAUGUUGACACCCGAUCCAAGGUCGCAGAAGGCGUUGUGGAAGAUUUGCGGUCCGAUCUCACAGGUGAUGGUCGGCAGGCCUGGGUCGUCCUUCUUGGUGAUGAAGGGCGAAUCCAGAAGAUAGCUCCAGUUGGAUUGUACCGGAGGCUUAACGAACCUCGUAGUAACUAGUUUAACUCCUUCAAUUGGGUCCUCAGGUUUCCCUGGGAUCUUACCUUGCUCGAAGGAUGGGACAGCUGCUGCUAAUUGAGCUAAUUGUGUUUCUAGCAUUUUGUUAAAGCUCAACUGAUUUUUCAUAGCAGAGUUAAAGCUAUCCAACUUUUCACUUAAGUUUUCAAGGAUCUUAUCAUUAGCCAUCAUUUUCUUGUUAAUGCUAUCAUUGAUUUUAGAUUGGCCUAAGACAAGAUCUCUAAGAGAAGGUUGGUUACCAAAAGAAUUAUUGAAAUUUUGAUUGUAACCAUUACCUUGAUUACCUUGGUAGAAAGGGCGCGAGUUCCAUUGCUGUUGUUGGGGCCGGUACCCAUUGUUGUUGUUGUUGAUGAAGCUCACUUCCUCCUUUGUUUCGGGACAAUUGUUUCCCGAAUGAUCAUCUCCUCCGCACACUUCGCACCAUGAAUCAGAUUCAAUGGCCCGUGCAGUGGCGUAAGGUUGAAUGGUCUCUUGCUUGGAACUUUCUUCCAUCUUCUUCAUUAAGAGGUCCAUCUUAGCAGAGAGCAUGUCCACCUCAUUCAAGGCAUGGACACCUCUUCUCUUGGGUUGGAGGCAUUCCUCAUUCCAUCCUUGGUUUAUAACCAUCUUUUCAAUGAGGUCCUUGGCAUCCUUGACAUUGUGUUGCAAGAAUGCUCCUCCAGCGGCAGCAUCAAGGUGACUACGGGCCAAACCGGUCAGGCCAUGGUAGAAACCUUGGAUUAGGAGCCACUCCUCUAUCCCAUGAUGAGGACAGGCGCGAAUGUACUCCUGCAGACGUUCCCAUGCUUCGGGAAUCGUCUCAUCUGCUUGCUGUUGGAAGCUGGAAAUCUUUCCACGAAGGGCGCUGGUCUUGCCCAUCGGAAAGAACUUCUUGAGAAAUGCAUUGGCGCACCUCUCCCACGUGGUCACUUCACCCUUGUUGGCGUAGAACCAUUGCUUCGCCUUCCCCAAUAACGAGAAUGGGAAGAGGCGAAGACGGAUGGCGUCUGCGGCGACAUUCUUGAUGGUGAAGGUGCCGCACACCUCCAAGAAGUGUUGGAGAUGGGCAUUGGCAUCCUCGUGUGGCUUUCCACAGAAGGGAUUAGCUUGCACCAUAUUGAUAAGCGCAGGCUUCAACUCAAAAGUCGCAUCCCCCAAGUUAAGCUGCGGACCCGUGGCGACAUUGUCAGCCGACGGCGCAGAGUACUCAGAGAUGGUCUUUUGGGCCAUAGCUUCUUUGAUAACCGGUGCAGAUACUCCUUCCUCUAACGGAUUCAGGUUCGAGAUGAACCUUUGAGGUGGAACUUGACGACGUCUAGUUCUCCUCAACAGUUGCUCAGGAUCUUCAACGAAGUUUGACGGCAAUUGGAAACCGCUCAUACACUGUCAGGCUUCACAAUAAAGGAAGACAAGACAAGUGAUGGGUUAUCCCUAUCACUACUUGAUAACUAGCAAACUCUGGAUUCUCUUUUUGUUAAAACUCUUAGACAGACGCUCUCCCCGGCAACGGCGCCAGAAAUGCUUGUUGACACUUCUUAACGCAACCACCGGAUAUCGGCGACGGCGCCAGAAGUGCCCUGGUAGGGUAACUCUAUUUACUAUUGGAUAAUUCCGCAAGCGCACAGAAUGUACCGCUGUAGCACUUCACCAAGGAGUAUUCCAAGGUAUCGUAAUUUAUAUUUUCCCAAGGGAAAGCGGCUAAGUGUGUUUAACAAAAAGGGGAAUGAGAUUCCUUGAGUUAUCUAGUAUCAACUAGUGAAUAAGGGUGGUAAAUAACAAAUAGGAAGGGUAGUGGUGAAUCCAAGGUCCUAUGCUAAAGGUAAAUGGUAGAGUUAGCUAGGUGGGAGGACAACGAGUGAGUAAAGGACUCCUAUGUAUCUAACUUGACUUUUGUGACUUACUUUAAUAGAUAAUUGUCUUAACUACGCUAGAGCCUUACUAACUGUGUGCGAGGGAUAGCCGAGCUGGUAAGACGCUUAGAAGGUUUUUCACCUAACCCCUUACCGAAAGCGACUAUUGGGCUUAUGGACGCCUUACCUUUUAAGAACUAGCCUGUACGUGAGGAGAACCUAAUGCCGCCCACGAUCUGUCACCUACUAGGGAGUGCGCUCCUACUUUCCGUUCAAGCCAGCGGUAAUCAAAGGUAAUCUUAAGUAUGAGCACCACGCUCACACUUAAUCCUACAACGCUAACUAGUUGCAGCUAGCUAGAGCUCCUAUACAAGAUAGGACGAUGAUGCACACACAGGAGUGGUUACAGGUCACUAACUUCACUAAGACAACUAUAUUACUAAAGUAAAUGCACAACAAGACUAAAAGACUUGCACUAAGUAAGAACUCAGUAAAGUAAAGUAAGAAUAAUAUAUUAAUAAAAGGAAAGUCUUACAAAAGUAGAAAGGUACAAGAGCUAUACCAGACUCUCCAGAAGACGACUCCGGAGACCCCGAGCUUCGCUCGACUCGACUCUAACUCCCACUCUAGACUAACUACUACUCUACUUGUAUGCUUGGAACUUGUAAUGCACUUGGCCUUGGAAUUGCACACUUGAAAUGAAGGAUGGAGGCUGCCUUUUAUAGAGGGAGAUGGAGUAGGGGUUACUCCAUCGCCACGUCAUCGAUCCGCGUGACAUCUUCUCUCCACCCUUGGAUCAAACCGACCUCACAACCGCCAUUUGAUCAACGGCAGGGGCAAAUCAACAUGUGGGACAUGUGGGGAAGGUCGGUGGGAGGCCACCGACCCUGGAACCGCCUUUGAUGUGGGGUCGGGCGACCCCACUUCUGGGCCUCUGGGCCCACCAGCAGUGUCCUCAGGGGUCCCUUAUGUCGGUGGACUAGGUGGCACACCUGGGUCCCACCAAAGAGGGGUCGGGCGACCCCCUCCCUGUGGGCCCAGGGUGUCACCUGUUGUCCCCUCGAUCUCCUCUUGAUGAUUCUGAUGUUGGCUUUGUCAAAUAAUGUCUUGAAUUUGUUGUUCCUGCAUAAACAAGCUAAGAGUACAAGUGGAACUAGUUAUGGAUAAAAUAUGUUCAUGUCAUGUCGUUUCCCCUUGCAACCGAGGCAUGUUGACGGUGUUUUGUAUGUGGAUUUCUAUGGUAUAUCCACCGUCAACAAUCUCUGCCUUGUCUCUAUGAAUAGGUACACUUCAAACAAAACAUGGAGGAGUUUUACAACUCCCAGAUUCCACCAAGUGAAGAACCGGGAUCUACGAGCACAAACACAAUGGAGAUAAGACACUUAGUUUCCCAAAGGAAAUAUUGAAGAACCUCUGUGUCCGAGUUGGUACCUUGUACGCUCCAGCAAACUUCGUGGUGAUAGAGACUGGUACUGAGGAGAGGGCACCCAUCAUCUUAGGGAGGCCAUUCCUAAACACCAGAGCUGUCAUCUAUGCUAAUGCUACCAAGAUCAGUCUCUACAUCAAAGGGAAGAAGGAGACUUUCCUUCAAGAACAAGACUACACAAACUUCAGAGCAAUCCUAACAUGAACCAAGGAAGAGGACCAACAGGAGGAACAAGAACAAGCAAAUGUGGACCGAGUCAGCUGAGAUGGUCACUGCAGCUCAAGGAGGUCAAGAUCGUCGACUCAAGUCACCUUUCUUGAUCAAGAAGGACAAUCCUGGUGUUCCAAGCAUCGAGUGCACAAUCAAUGGAAACUCUUUUCAGAAGACACUCUACAACAUCGGAUCUAAUGACAACAUAAUGGCCGCAGUCACUUAUCAGCUCCUGCAUGGAACCAUGCUCCUACAACCAAUAUACAUUCGGCUCCAGGUAAUUUUCAGGUCAUUAACAUGGGAGAAGACGAGUAUGAUGCACCCACCAUCCUCGGAAGACCGUUCCUCAACACUAUCAAAGCAAUCAUCUAUAUUGGAAUCGGAGAAGUCCACAUACACUUCUCCUCUGAGAAGGUAUGCCACUAUUUUACUGACCUUAACUAUAUAGUUGAAGACUCUAAGCAGGUCAGGACAAGAAGAAGACAACGCAACCGCAACCAGAGGAGGCAAAUCAUCAAGAACGGAUGGGUAGACUACGAAGGAGAAGUGAUAAGGUCUGAAGACAUAUAGCUUGAACAGAACUGUCCUGAGGAGACCGUAGCACCGAGUCAGGUGUAGAGAGAGAAGAUAGUUAUAGCCGCCGGAAUCACCGACUACGCCACCUAGCGAAUCCCAGGACGACUGAGAAAACGGAGAGUCCCGUUCGUAGGACUUAAAAACACCAAACGCCUUGCCAAGAGGUAAACUUGGUAGUUAUCCUUUUCCUUUCAAUUAUUCAAUUAUAGUUUGCUUAGUUAAUCAGGUUCAUGCUAUCUUGAAAAGAAAAUAAAAAUGUUAAAAAAAUAGUAAGCCCCAUGUGAGUAUGCUCAUGACAUAAAACCCAUAAGUACAUUCAUUGUGGUGGCAUAAAAAUAAAAUAAAUAAGUUUUCAUCUUACAAUAAAAAUAUAAAAAUAAUAAGUGCAUGAUCCUGCUAAAUAAGUAACAUUUAUUGAGGAGGCUCAACAUGAUAAAGGCUAGAUAUUUAUGCUAACACUUAACCAGUUCCACAAAGCUUUGUUGUCUAUUUGAGCUCCACAUAAUUCAAGGAUCAAAGAAGACUAGCAGACGGAGGACAUCCUAAUCGCUGUUAGGGUGCUGCCGACUUUCAAAUACACCUCCAUCACCUGCUAGCUACAUCAGAAGAAAUUACGUCAAAAUCCAGCUUGGAGGAGAGCACCCCAUUUAUCCAGCUAAGUAUUCUACUCGCGUUUAUACUUUACUCAAAUAAUAAAAAGAUGCAUAAUCAUGAAAAAACAAAUAAAGAUUUUUGUGCUUUUAUAUAUAUCUUUGCUUAGUUUGCUAAAUAAAUAAAUAAAGUUUGCUAUGAACCCUCAUGAUAAACUCUCACAUGGAAAUGAUGAAUAGUUGCUCUGCCAUGACUAGUUCUUAAAAUUAAAAUCUCUCUCAAGUUUAGGCAUAACUGUUAUAAUUUAAACCUACUCUAAAUCUGAACUUGUGGGAAGAGAACUUGAUCUAAAGUCUAAGUCGUUAACGGAUAUGAUAUGGGAAGGUUGAGCUGCUGUUUAUCUGUUUCUAGAGAUGCUAGAAUUCUGGAGAAUUUUAUCUUUAAAAAUCUUUAAAAUGACACAUGAUGAGUUCCUGUAUGAUGAGAGUUUAAAAUCCUACCACAGCCAUAUAUACAUGCUUAUUAGACUUUGAGCCACACAUUUACUUUACUGCUUAUGAGCAUUGAGUGUGGUCAAGCUGUGUAGACCCUUAGGAGCUUGUCAUGUGGUUAAAAUCAAGAUUCACUUGCACGUUCACUCAUACAUGCUACUUCUACUCCGGAAGUACGCAUCCACAUACAUCCACUCAUUUCCAUCUCCAGAUUCAUCCAAAAUUAUUCUACUCCUAAUCCGGAAGAGAAUAGCCAAAAACAUUUUCCUAUACCUGUUAUUCCCUGUGAAAUAAAUGCUCCAGUUAUUUUGGUUACUACCACUUGCUAUAUUAUUUUAGGAGAUGAGUGCUCUAAAAAAAGAGAAAAUAAAUAAAUAAAUAAAUAAAUAAUAUACGAGGAAAUAAGAAGGGGCAAGUGCCCGGAACCUCGAAGAAAAGAAAAAGUGAGACGAGAGGUAAAAAUGGACAAGUGUCCGACAGUAGAAUUAGGGGUACAAGAUACCCACCUGAGAGAAAAAGAAAAAGAAAAUAUAGAGCAUCUCAUUCUCCUCAAAAAAGCUUCAAAGUGCAAGAAAGGUAUGUAUCCCUCAAAAGAGAAAAAGUAGAAUUAGACUUUCACCAUUAUUAUCAUCAUCAUCACCAUACACCAUUCAUUCGCCACACAUGCACAUCAUGAUUUGACUUAUUGACUUGUCUCUCUGGAUCCAUGGUUUGACUAUGCAAUAAAUGUCUUGUAAGUAUGUAUUAGCUGUCUCCCACCUAUGAGCUCCAGAUAUCAAAACCUUAUUAGAGUAGGGUGAGAAAGAAGGCAAUAUCACUAUGCAUUAUACCAAAAAUACCACAUACUUUGAGAAAAGGCAUAUACCAUUACUGCCAGAAAUAUGACAAAAGAGAGAUCUGAGAGAGUCAUACAAGGAAUCUCUGAGUUUUAUUUGAAAAUCUGCAAAAACCCCAGAGCUAUAGCUGAUCAAGAAAAAGAGACAUGGCGCUUGACUUGACCGUUCUAUCUUUUAACUGCUCAAGACACAAGUAACGGUUACAAGCCCCAUGGAGAAAGGUAAAAUGAGUAAGUUUUAAGUCUUAACAGUUUAUUCUAACUCAGAGAUGAGAUCUUGCUUGAAUGCGUGUGUACUUUUAAGGCAUGAAACCACUGCAGAAACUCUUGAGUUCAUCCUUGCUCAGGGACGAGCAAGAGGUAAGCUUGGGGGAGUUUGUUGACGGUCCUUAAGUAUCAAAUUUAAUUAUCAAAUAAACAAAGAAAAGGAUCCAAAUGAAAUCAACAUCUAGACUUAGGGUUUUAUCUGACAGAAUUCCAUGAGUUUUGGUGUUUGUCUAUUUCUGCAGGGGGUUAUCAGGAAAUAAGGAAGAAAGGCCCACAUGUCAGGAUUACAUAGAGAUAUCAACGCACCGCGCAAUUUUCUACCAUCUAGAAGACUCCAGAAGCCACGAGACCGAAGCGGAGGCGAAACGGGGCCAGGACCUGGGCGCCCGCCCACCUGCCGAGCCCAAUCAGGACUCUUUCUCUCGGGAGAUCUCCACCGACCUAUUGGAUUCAGAAUAACGUAGUACCACCUCGCCUACCGACCCAAAAACGCAUAGAAGGGGAGGACUAUAUAAGGAGACCCCCUGGCCCCUGGAGAAGACAAGAAAUUAUCAUAGAGAUUGAGGGGUUCCCUCGAAAGAAAACCUCUUCUCUAAAUAAUAUUUCUUUUUAGGCUUAGCAACCAAUGUAAAGUAGAAAUAGAUCUUCUAGUUUCUACUAGAUUGAGAGAGAUAGAGUGGAGGUGUGGAUCGGAGGAAGGCCGGCCUGUCGGUGUCUACUCCGAGUUGUACCUGUGGGAUCAAGUCUCCUAACCCGAGGCUUGCUUCUAAGAUUCUUCAGUAAUUCGACUUCUAAUUCUAGUAAGUUCUUGUUUUAUUGUUCUUUGGUUUAUGAGUUUACUUUAAUCCUCUUCCGGUUGAGUAUUAGAGUAAUCACUUGCUAGCGUAAACGUGGUGUUUAGGCUAGGGUACUCAUAGAUAUCCCCUAACUAGCUGGACCGUGGUAGUAGCGAGGAACGUGACAUUUCCGAGUUACCUUUGUAUCCCAUAUCUUGUUAGCAGGACGGGUAGGUUUAUAGGUGCGGGUCGAACAUCCUUUGUGUUGUCUAGAUUCCGUGAGCCUCCCCAAUAGAACGGUAGAUCAUCCUUACCAAGGUUAGAACGAGACUACGGUUGCAGUCUUCUCUAUACAUCACUCACAUCGAGAGACAUUCUUUGUAGCCUAAAGGGAUAGUAGCAAUAGAUUUGGUUAGUCAGAUGCACCCUUUCUCCCAGUGGUAAAAAUAUAAAUACGAUACUUUGGAAAACCUCCCGGGUGAAAUGCUCACCGAUAUCCGUGCGCUUGCGGAUCAUUUUGUAAUUGCGUUACCAAAUAUCAACAGCCGUCCCAGCUUGAAGGCGUGCAUCCGAUCACUGCUUCGAACAAAAUUGUCAUCCGAUAAGUUGAACAGCUCGUUCAUCAGCUGCUGGACCUCCGCCUUCUCUAGACCAUCCGGGCACAUUCUGGUCGGGUCUUGGCUCCCCGCAUACUCGUACGCCGAGUGUAUCCUCCUCUAGCAAGGCAUCACCCGACGCACAAGGAAGUUCCCGACCACUCCUGGCCCAUCUAAGCGGGACCAGUCGAUCAGGCUCAUCAGAUCUGCCACUUGGCCCUCGUACUCUGGACGGUCCGUCCAGCGGACCCUCUUCUUGGGGAUGUAGCCCACGUCGCAGAACGUGGCGCUGCCCGGUUCUUCAUGGAUGUAGAACCACUUCUUGUACCAUUCGGUGAGAGAAGUGUUCUAUGGGCAGCUGAGGUACCGGUUCUUCAUCCCAUCGCGCAGAUUGAGGUAUACUCCACCUGCAAUCUUGGAGCCUCCAACUGCCCCUUUCUUCCUCAGACAGAAAAGAUAGCGAAAAAGAUCGAAGUGCGGCUCUAUUCCAACAUAGGCCUCGCACAAAUGAAUAAAGGUGGAAAGAAGGAGAAUUGAGUUCGGGUGCAAGUUGUAGAUCCCGAUCUCAUAGUAAAGAAGGAGGCCUUGAAGAAAAGGAUGAACUGGAAUCCCAAAACCCCUCUUGAAGAAAUCCUCAAAAACGACAAUCUCACCAGCAUGGGGGUCGGGGUAGCUUUCCCCCUCUGGCGCCCUCCAUCCUCUGAGUUCUUGGUUGUGAAGGAGCCCCUUCUCGACGAGGUCGUUGAGAGACCGUGUGUUGCUCCGAGAUUUUUUCCAUUCUUUGGCCAUCAUCUCGGCCCUCUUCUUGGCAUCACUCUUCGCCAUCUCAACUCUCGAAAAGUCUCGAGCUCGGUUUUGGGGUUUGAAGGUGGUGAAGAAGAUGGAGUUUCUGGCAAUAGUAUGCAACUGCUGGGUAAAAAGAAAGGAUACGACCUUGAGCCUUUAUAACAAAAACUUCGCCUCUUCCACUUCCCGCAUUCUUGGGAAGUGGGCGGAUCCUGCGGCGGCUGUGGCGUUUCGGUUUUCAAUAAUUACCGUCAAUUAAUAUGGUGGCUUUUCUACAUAAUUGGUGCUUUCCUUUUCUUGAACCACACAAAGAGCAGCUGCACAGUUACCAGGCGCACCUUUUUACGCAACAGUCUGACAAUGACCUAGGAUGCCUUGUCACAUCACGCAUUAAUGUGGCGAGAUGCUUUUUCUAAAAGACAAGCGGAUCUGGUGGAGGACCGUACAUGACAUACUCGGGGACUGGUCGACCAGCACGCCCAUUUGAGCGUCUGGGGACUGUACCGACCACCAAGCAUUAUAUGCUCGGGGACUGGUCGACUAGUCUGUUCCAUUGCAGACGAGCAUGAUAUGCUCGGGGGCUGGUCGAUUAGUCUGUUCUGUUGCAGACGAGCAUUAUAUGAUCGGAGACUGGUCGACCAGCACGCCCAUUUGAGAGUUUGGGGACUGUACCGACCACUGAGCAUUAUAUGCUCGGGGACUGGUCGACCAGCACGCCCAUUUGAGAGUUUGGGGACUGUACCGACCACCAAACAUUUUAUGCUCGGGGACUGGUCGAUUACUCUGUUCCGUUGCAGACGAGCAUGAUAUGCUCGAGGACUGGUAAAUUCAAUUUUUUAGACCUUGCUACAAGGCUCAUACUUCACCUUCCAGCAAGCUCGGAGACUAUAUCGGUACGAUGCAUCUGGCGAUGCAUCUCAGUUUUGGAAUUUCUAUGAAGACUUUUUUGACCCUGGUACCACGUGCCUACGUCAUCUACUACCAGGUUCGGGGACUAAGUGGGCACACUUCACCUUGCGGUGAACAUGCUUGCUUUUUGAAAGUCUAUACUUUUUAGAAAAGUAAAGUGGGCACACUUCACCAGGAAAGAAAUCUUUUUUGAUUAAGAGCACCAUGCAUUCUUCGAACAACCUACUUCUUCGAUGUCCAUGUUGAUCAACUGCCUUUUGAGUUGGUUAAAAUACCGUUGCAACUGUUUGGGCAAUUUUCCUUCUUAUUGAAGACGUCAAGCCUCACUAGUCGAAGAAGCUCAAGACGGCGUGUUACAUCACAAUACAUGGUGCUCGGGGACUAGCUGUGGGGGUAUAAAUCCCUAUACCCUUACGGCUAGACUUGGGCCAGGAGGCUUGGCCCAUCACGAAGACAGUCCGAGGCUUGAUCCAACUGCUCGGAGUUUCGCGCAAGGAAACAAGACGUGGAGAUCAAGCCGAAUUCUAGUCGGUUAGAAUAGGAAUUGAUAUUGUGCUAUCUAUGGCAAUUGUAACCGACUAGGAUUAGUUUCCAGAUUUGUAACCCUGCCCUCUGGACUAUAUAAAGAGAGGCAAGGGACCCCCUAGGUAAUUCAUCUCAACACAAUCCAAUACAAUCAGACGCAGGACGUAGGUAUUACGCCCACGCGGCGGCCGAACCUGGAUAAAAACCUGGUCUGUGUCUUGCGUCACCAUCAAGUUCGUAGCUUGUGCACCGUCUACCGAUAAACUACUAUCGUGGGUAUACCCUAAGGUAGACUGCCGACUAGCUUUCGUCGACACACGUGAUAUACGAGAAAGAUUUGGUUCAGGUAAUUAUGCAUGUGGUUCAAGCAUCUAUCUAAAAAAAUUGUGACCACUGCCACCAUUGUGAAGUGUUCCAUAAAUAUGUUUAAUAUCCUUUGCCAUUGCCAAGACACAUGUUUUUUUCUCUACACAUUCCUUUGAACGCAGAUGCUCAAAAUUGGGGACAACAUUGACAUACCCUGGAUUGCCAAAGCACUGGAUUGUUGCACGGCAACACCAAAGUGUAGAGGCACAAGCUUGCAUUGAGGGGAUGGCAUGAGGUUAGGUUCAGCGGCAACUACUUAAGGUCUUGUUUUUCUAUCCCAACUAAUAAUUUUUGGUUUGCUUCGUCAUGUUAUUUUGGGAAGCAAGACAUGUCAUUAUCUACAAUUGCCUUGGGUACAAAAGCUUUGUCAAAUUGUUUGCAAGGUUCAGAAGGAGCUGCUCCUUUUAUUGACUAAAAUUAUAAAAACAGUACCUACUGCAAGAGAGAUUGAAUCUAAUUCUAAUGCAUUUUGGGGACUCUGGUUGUAAUGAUAAAGUUUAAAAAACGCUGGCCAUAUUGAAUUAAUCUUGCUCGAUGUUGCCUCUCCUGCCAAUUUGCCAUAUAAGUUGAUUGGUUCUGUCUCAUCUAUUUAGCUAUUGCACACCAAUUAUAUUGCAUGCAGACUCAUCAGGCUUACUUUAUAAGUGUACUUUACUAAUAAUUAGUGUUACCUAUAACGCUAUGACACUAAAAACGACAUCCUUAUUCUUUUUUGCAAUGUUUCCUUCUCGACUGCAUAUGUCGAGUGCUUUCCGCAAGCCAUCUGAAAAAAAGGUUUAAAAUGUUGCUACUUUUUUUUGCAUUAGAAGAACAUUAAUUCCUCAAAACAAAAUAAAGGUUUUGUACGAAUGUUUGUGUAUUUGUUAAAACAUUUUGACUCAGUAAAUAAAGUCCCUUUUGUAUUUCUUCUUCUUCUCUAUUACGAAUAUAAUCAAAUUUACUAUUUUGCUUCAAAUGAUUUGUUUUCUAUUAAUCCCCUUACUCCAGUCAGUGUUUCUUCGUAUAUCUCUUACAUCACUUAGUUUCAAAUUAGACAUGGUUAUGAAAACAAAUACUUUAGAUUACUGACUCAUAAACAAUUGAACAGGUUUAUCUAAAUCAAUUGGGUGUCAUUUGAAGCUAUUCCAACUUAAGCUGGUGUUGGCUCCUUUCAGCCUGCACAAAAGGAGAGAAGUGCUAUAUUAGAGUGAACAUGAUCCUUGCCACCAGCAAGUAACAGGGGAAGGUGAGGUGAGAAUUAGAAUUGUCUUCAAUUUUAGGUGUUCAUGCCGCUUCAUUUAGAGCACCUUGAGGAAGUUCGUGUCUUAGGAUGAUUAGUAUAGCUAUAGCUUACCUUAUUUGUGGAAGGCUGCAAAAUCUAGAUUUUACCAUCGCAUCAAUUUUAAAGUUCAAAGGUCCAAUUCAAGACUGCCAUGACUUGGCUACAUCACUUAAAGUAAAAGAGUCAACAAAAUUUAAGUUCCUAACAGAGUUGCUUUUCUCUAAAACUAUUUUUAGCUGCAAAGGAGUGCCUUAAUAGAAUAUUGAAAUCUCACAUGUGUUACAAAUAUGUAAUAGUUGAUGCUAAUAAUUCUGUAUUGACAUUUUCGUAGGCCACUAAUGAAUUUUCCAUAAGAAACAAAAGACAAUUUCUUCGUUUUUGCUUUGUAUAUAUGUGACUGACAUGUCAAUGAUUUUUUUCCCUCCUAUGACGCUCUUGCCCUUGUGAUGUGUCUUUACAGCACACCAUUUUAGAUCAGAUAUAACCUCUUACUAACACUAGCACAGUUCUUCCCAAACAACGCCUCACUGUUCACAUCUCCGGAAUACCACCACAUCGCUAUUGUGAUUUCACAGUCCACUGUCUUCUCAGUGAAACAUGCACAAUCCAUGCCAUCUCAUUUUGUCAUGCAACAUUAUCGUACUCAGUUGAUGUUCAUGGAUCACAAACCCUCAUGUCUCAAGCAGCACAUGUAGCACUUAGUAUGAUAACACGCUAUGGUUGUCUCCUCAACAUUUGGCCAAUAUGGUAUGACACAUAUAUGGAAGAAAUGCUUGGCCGACUAUCCUCGACAACCUAUGACCGGAUGCCAUCUUUGCAUGGAGGUAUUCACAUCCACAUCUGCAGUCUAAAUGAAAAAAAUAAUAGCACAACAUAAGUCGAAAACAAGAGAAGCUCUCUUUUUUUUUCUCACCAUCUUUUACUUGACCAUUUACAGGAGACACUCA